UUUUAUUGCGCGCAAACCCCAAAAUUUUAUUCCCACCUUUGGGUUUCCGCGCCGAAGACCCAGCGCCAGAUUCGGCGACAAAGAAAACUGACAGCAGUCGCCGGACAGUUGGCAAUCCUGAUAUUUGACGGCGGCCGCCCGGUAGUCAUGGGAGUGGAUUGUUGUCACGCAAAUAGAUCUUUUCGCUGAAAAUGCAUGUGUAUUGAGUUGUUGUUGACAGAUUUUCUGCAGUGUUAGUGUGAAAUUCAGCGGUUUUCUGUAUCGCGUAAGCCUUCGCUGGAAGAAAACGUCAUGUUGUUCAGCGAACCAAGGAAAAUUUUCAGUGAAAAAAGCAAUACUUCUGAUUGGAAGCGACCCCGCUGUAGUGUCAAAAUUCUCGGACCGCGAUGAAUUCAGUUCAUCGGUGCACUCGUCUAUUCUACUUUAUCGAUCUUGUUGUCCUCCUUUUCAUGCUCAUGUUACAUUUGUCAAAAUGACGUGAGAAUUGUCAGUCAUUUUGAGGUUAGAUUCGUUGGUGUAAUGAAGAAUUGGGCAAUUCAAGCCCAAAGGUGGAAAAAAUUAAUAACUUUCUUAAUACAAGACCCUAUGUGACCAUCGAUGGCUUAUUCGAAAGCAAAUUUUCUCAAGAAUUGGUUGAUGGAUGAUUCAUGUACGGGCAACUACUCUGAAGCGUGUUAUAGAGCCCGUUUAAACCCAGUUCCCCUUGGAAUUUGAGAAUUUCUGCUAUUUUACGGCAUUUGUUAUGAUUUUAAUGAUUUUUUCGCUGGAAUACCAUCGCCAUGAAACCUAUCAAACAAGCUAUUGGUCAACUUAUCUGGUCAUCCAAGCUUUUGGGUUGUUUUUUUUUUUCAUGUAACCCUAAAUUUCCAAAUUUCAUAAGAUGCAGAAAUGUUACUGGUUAGCUCUUCAUCAAUAUUAAUUCACAUCAUGCAUAGAAAUUUCAAGUUAAAGUUGUUUUAAUUGAAAAAAAAAACAAUAUAAAAAUAAGUUUAUAGGGGAGUUACUAAGCUCUGAAACUAUAUGUUGCCGCCACCUCCCGUCUAUGAGGCUAUGCGCAAACAACAUUUAGGAUGUUUUUGGAGUAUAUAAGCAAUGGCUUAUCGUUUGGAAAUGUUUGGAAUCGGUGGUAUUGGGAUGAGAAAUACUCAUAUUUGUAUGCGUGAAAAAUCAAGAAAUAUUACAUAUACUAUGAGAUCAAACUCCCCAAAAAUGGUUUCUUCAGAAAUAAUCCAUGUGUAUUCGAUUAUUUAUUUAGUUAUUGUCACGUAAAAAAUCAUUAAUAAAAAUAAAAAAUGAUUUUUUACCUUGAAAAUAUACCAUUGCCCAAUUGACCCCACGAUACCCACAGUAUCCCAGCGAAAAAAUCAUUAAAAUCAUAACAAAUGCCGUAAAAUAGCAGAAAUUCUCAAAUUCUAGGGGGAAUUGGGGUUAAACGGGCUCAAUAACUCGCUUCAGAGUACUUGCCCGUACAUGAAUUAUCCACCAACCAAUUCUUAAGAAAAUUUGCUUUCGAAUAAGCCAUUGAUGGUCACAUAGAGUCUUGUACUAGGUCUUGUAUUAAGAAAGUUAUUAAUGUUUUCCACUGGUGCCAAGAAUUGGCUUCUUUAGCGGUGUUGAGAUAAUUCCAUAUUCUGAAUCUGCAUGCGAAACUGAGCCGAAAUCCAAAUUUUCAUGAAUUUUGGUGCCCGGGAACCUCUUUUAAAAUCUAUUUGAAGUUUGUAUGGGAGCGAUUUGUCGAAUCACCCCUCGUUGCAUUUUGUACUGGGCGGAGCUGUCAAGCAGUUGCCCAGCUGUCAAAAGGUGAUUUCAAAAAAUCUCUUUGAAAUUGAUUUUAGGUAUCAAAAUAAAGUUCUAAAAAUCUGAAAAAAUCAUAGUGGCUCAGAAAAAGGUGCUCUUUCGUAUGAAAUCAAAAAAUCGAUACAUUUUUCUUAAUUUAAAAACCCAAUUGGUGCUGGACUAGGUGCAGUAAACUCGUUCAAAAUCAACUUUCCGCUUUCCGGCAGAAAAUCUUCACAACAAUCACUGUUAACAACAAGUUUACUCAAUAAGGUAUCUGAUUCAGACGGAAGAAGUGGACGAAAACAGUCGUUUCGUUGUGAAUUUAGGUAAUACAUAAUUUUGUUUACAUGUUAUGCCGGGAAUAGGGCAAAAAACCCUAGUUGGGAUAAGCUAUUUUACGAGACGUUCUACCGGUGGGCCGCUCAUUGUUAUUGUUUACAUUUGAUGAUUUUGUUUUAACGAAAAGUAGCAUAACAUGCGGUGAGCAUCAAUCAGAUUUUUGCUGGCAGAGAUGUUUCGGUGUCUAAUGUCCCGCAUAGAGAUUUACAGUUUGCCUUAAUCUCCAAACAGUAAAUCUCUUCUAUCUGUUGCUGUUAAUGUAUAAUUAAUAGUUGCUUUUAUGUCCAAGAAUAUAAGAUGCAACGCAUUCAACUAUAUACCACGGUCUAUGCAAUCCAUAGCAAGUAGUGACAUCAUAUUAUACUAUGCAGAUAUUGUUGAAUGAUAUAAAGAUGGAAGCUUGCAAUUAAUGGUGGCAAUAUUAAUUCACCUUAUGACAAACUGUUUGUGCAUAUUCUGUGCAACACACCUACAUGCAUGCGUUUCACUAUAUGCCACUGAAGUUGAACAAUGUGACAAAUAGUUGUACGCAUCUGUAUUCGUGAAUUAUUGAAAAUUAACUGAUGCUUGUGUUGGCAACAUUCAAAACAAAGAAAAAAAAAUUGGAAGCAGCCAACUGAAAGGGCAAUUUUGUUUCAGAGCCAUUUCAGAACCCAAAUUUGAACAACUGCCGUAGUAAAUCGGGGCAUUGUACGAGGACCAGCACCUAACGUGCUGUUAGCGCAUACUUACCGGAGACCAACGUCCGCUUCAUUUGCAUAACAUCCGGACGAUCCAGCAAACAUCCAUGGCGACCCGGUAUGCAAGCUGGAGCGGGAAACAAACUACGAAGGAGUUGGUCCAAGGACACAUUCAAUUUAGACAUAAGUGAUGAUGGAGUCUAUCGAGUCUAUCACGGUUAAUAAAAGUAAUUGUUUCAUUAGUUAUAGUUCAAUUUGUUCUCAUUUUUUUGUUUUCUUUUAUGGUACUAAUAUUAAAAAAAAACAGUACAAUGCACUGUUUAUAGCUAUAUAAACACAAUACGAUAUACAGUACUCGUUUUCCUUGCAAAUUUAUGGUCAAAUUGUUCUCUAUCCAUUUGCUAUGCAGUGAUUUGUUCGAAAAUAUGGAUAGUAAUUUGACCAUUAUUCUUUACUGUAUUGCGAAAAAUUUGUUCGGGAAAAUGACCGAUUUUUUAUGGUAACCUAUCUUAACCGCCUAUUCCACAUACUGUAAAUUGGCGGGUUACCAUUUGUCAAACUGGCAAAUAUGUACAUGGAAUGGUGAGCUUACUGUUAUCUCCGAUAGUCUGAGAUAUGGUUAAAUGACAAUUGCUAAUGGUCAUCUACAGUAUGAAAAACGUUGCAUUUACAGUUUGUGAUUAUGCGGGGUGGCAUGUAUCAAUCCCCCGAGCUGCAUGAUGUCACUAGCAGAUGAAAAAAACAUCCCCACGGUCUACGGAUAUUAAUUAUAGUGGGCGGGUUGACGCAUUUUUGCAGAUAAAUGAACCUCGUUAUUGGAUGGGCCUGUAUCACAUGUUAUGCUAGCGAAAAUGUAAAUAAAUAGGCCCACCGGUUGGACUUCAAAACUGGUAAACAUUAAAAAAACAGCUGAUUUGAAACGUCUCAUAAAAUGCCUUAUUGUAAAUAUUAUUGCGAUAUUACUUUAUAAAAACUUGGUAUCUUCGGCAAAGUUGUUAGCAUGGUCAAGAGCUGUCCAGUGAUGAACUAAAGCAUUGGCAAAUCCAUCGCUGGGCGGUGCUAGUGUGCAUACAAACUGCAGGCAAAAGUACAUAUAAACGUAUAUGCGUGUACCUCAAUAACGUGAUAAUUUAAGUGUGUGGUGUCUUCGACGAAGUUGUUGGCUGGGCCACGGGCUAUCCAGUGACGAACGCAAUACAGUUUAGACUCCUACUACACGGUUGUUUCGGGGGGUGCAGCAGUAAUUCGUGUUGUAGGAAUCCCAGAGCUUAUGGGUUUUCGCCUAAUUGGAGGUGUGAGCAUGAGCAUGAGCAUAGAUGACCGUACAAUUCGUAGUUGCUACUCCGUGAUUGACCAGAACAAUCGAAAUUGCAUAAGGAACCAACAAACGGAGCUUGGGAGUAGCUACCGCUCUCAAUGUGCACAGUUCGAGAAUUCCAGACUUUAUUAGUCAAUAACGGCGCCGGCCACGUCCUUACGGUCAUCGAGGAAGGAAAGGAAUGUUGCUUGACGUACGUUGCUACUAGAGACCGAGAUCACCUCAUCUUCUCCACGACUGUCACGGGAAGGAGUUUUUGUUAGUGGGGAGGGGGAGAGUCACAUGAUUUGGAUUCACUUUGGUAAGUGAUGUGAUUCAUGCAACCUUUACUUGAGGCAAAACAUUUAUUCAUUUUGACUAAAAUAUUACAAAUGUCGACACCGAAGAUGACGAACCAUUCAAAUUUUUGUGUGAAUGUAAAAAAUGAAAGAAAAAUAUUUAUUAUCAACUGAAUGUGCAUUGAAAACUAGCGCCGACACAUGACGUGACGAACUUUUCAAUAUUUGUUAGAUAAAUACACAAAAACCAGAGCAGAAUUUUAUACAUCCUUCAGCAUUAAUUAUUAUGAUAAAAUGGAACGAGCUCACCAAUAAACAUCCUUCGAAGUGUCCAGUGAGUAUGUGCUGCAGCAUCUUCCACUAACUGGCCUCUUCUCCGAAAUCACACUGAGCCGCUACAACUAUACACGGGUACGACGACGUGCACAUUCAAAUUGACGACGACGACGACGCGGCCGGUCCGAAUGAAAAAAAGCGGUCUCUUCACUUUGCCUAAAAAAUCACACUAAACCGUCCCGUACGAAGAUAAGCACAGUGAAAUCGGCGACGACGACGACGCGGUCGGCCCGAAUGAAAACAGCGGUCUCUUCACUUUGCUACCAAAAUCACACUCGUUUUCGCCUAAUUGGAGGUGUGAGCGAAUAUCUCAGGAGUAUUACAAGAUAGCACCAUACUUUCUUUGGCAAAGUUGUAGUACUAGAAUACUGCCCCACUCGCAUAACAGUCCCAUUUGCAAAAAGUAGGAAUUGAGAAAACGGCAUUUGAAGUUUGAAAAGUUGUUUUCAUAUAAAACUUUGAAAAAUCGUCAAAAUUUGAAAAAUAUUUCGAUCAUCUCGAAACUUUCACAGAUUGCUUUGUACAUGAAUAUAUAACUGUAAAAAUUAUUACAAUCACUACAAAGUUGUUCAGUUUUUUGUUACGUAACACAAAAAUCCAUGAUGGGACUGUUAUGCGGGUACUUUUGAUAUGGGACGCUCAUAACUUGGUAUUUUUUUCACACAUUGACAUAAAAAUUCGUAAUUUUUAUUGUUGUUUUUGGAAGUACAUCAAAAAUGAUGACUAUUCAUAACGUUAACUCAAAAGUGAUGAAAAGUCAAAUGGGACUGUUAUGCGAGUGGGGGCAGAAUAGAU